rnacentral:tRNA from 1 species
UUAUUACUUUGGCAGAUUAGUGUGAUAAAUUUAGGAUUUAUUUAUGUAAAUUUUUUACAGGUAAUA